rnacentral:pre_miRNA from 1 species
UUUCAGUGUUUAGAUACAAUAUUUUGACUCUUCGUCUUAUUUGAAUUUUUUUGCGAUUAAUAUUACUAGAUGAUAAAACAUGAAUAAUACUUUAUGUAUGGCUAAUUUUUAAAAAAAAUUUAUACAAAUUUUUUAAAUAAGACAAAUGGUCAAAGUGUUAGACACACAAAUAAAG